rnacentral:rRNA from 1 species
AGUGAACGCUGGCGGUAGGCCUAACACAUGCAAGUCGAACGGCAGCACAGUAAGAGCUUGCUCUUACGGGUGGCGAGUGGCGGACGGGUGAGGAAUACAUCGGAAUCUACUUUUUCGUGGGGGAUAACGUAGGGAAACUUACGCUAAUACCGCAUACGACCUACGGGUGAAAGCAGGGGAUCUUCGGACCUUGCGCGAUUGAAUGAGCCGAUGUCGGAUUAGCUAGUUGGCGGGGUAAAGGCCCACCAAGGCGACGAUCCGUAGCUGGUCUGAGAGGAUGAUCGGCCACACUGGAACUGAGACACGGUCCAGACUCCUACGGGAGGCAGCAGUGGGGAAUAUUGGGCAAUGGGGGCAAGCCUGAUCCAGCCAUACCGCGUGGGUGAAGAAGGCCUUCGGGUUGUAAAGCCCUUUUGUUGGGAAAGAAAAGCAGCAGGUUAAUACCCCGCUGUUCUGACGGUACCCAAAGAAUAAGCACCGGCUAACUUCGUG